CCAGUAGGUGUAACCCUUUCAGGAGUAGGUCUGUGCUCAGUAGGUGUAACCCUUUCAUCAGUAGGUCUAUGUCCAGUAAGUGUAACCAUUUCAGCAAUAGGUAUGUGUCCAGUAGGUGUAACCUUUUCAGCAGUAGGUCUAUGCCUGGUAGGUCUAUGUCCAGUAGGUAUAACUCUUUCAGCAGUAGGUCUAUGCCUGUUUGGUCUAUGUCCAAUAGGUGUAACCCUUUCAGCAGUAGGUCUAUGCCUGUUAGGUCUAUGUCCAGUAGCUGUAACCCUUUCAGCAGUAGGUCUAUGCCCAGUAGGGGUAACCUUUGUAGCGAAGUUCUAGUCCUAACAAGGACUUUUCCCCGCUGGAUCUGUAGUAAAUGGAACUCUGGAGCAAGGAGCUGUAAAGUGAAUAGCUCUCAGAUCCAUUCGGUGGAACGGAAUCGAUAUCAGGUAAUGUUCUUUCGGGAGUUCCUGUGUGAACACCAACACAUGCUCACCCUGGCACUUAGGUAGCGAAUGCUCCCUCCCCCAGUUGGUAGUAUUUUUCUCCGGG